GAUUGAACGCUGGCGGCAGGCCUAACACAUGCAAGUCGAACGGUAACAGGAAACAGCUUGCUGUUUCGCUGACGAGUGGCGGACGGGUGAGUAAUGUCUGGGAAACUGCCUGAUGGAGGGGGAUAACUACUGGAAACGGUAGCUAAUACCGCAUAACGUCGCAAGACCAAAGAGGGGGACCUUCGGGCCUCUUGCCAUCGGAUGUGCCCAGAUGGGAUUAGCUAGUAGGUGGGGUAACGGCUCACCUAGGCGACGAUCCCUAGCUGGUCUGAGAGGAUGACCAGCCACACUGGAACUGAGACACGGUCCAGACUCCUACGGGAGGCAGCAGUGGGGAAUAUUGCACAAUGGGCGCAAGCCUGAUGCAGCCAUGCCGCGUGUAUGAAGAAGGCCUUCGGGUUGUAAAGUACUUUCAGCGGGGAUGAAGGGAGUAAAGUUAAUACCUUUGCUCAUUGACGUUACCCGCAGAAGAAGCACCGGCUAACUCCGUGCCAGCAGCCGCGGUAAUACGGAGGGUGCAAGCGUUAAUCGGAAUUACUGGGCGUAAAGCGCACGCAGGCGGUUUGUUAAGUCAGAUGUGAAAUCCCCGGGCUCAACCUGGGAACUGCAUCUGAUACUGGCAAGCUUGAGUCUCGUAGAGGGGGGUAGAAUUCCAGGU
rnacentral:rRNA from 1 species